UACGUAGGGUGCGAGCGUUGUCCGGAAUUAUUGGGCGUAAAGAGCUCGUAGGCGGUGUGUCACGUCGGCCGUGAAAACCUGCAGCUUAACUGUGGGCGUGCGGUCGAUACGGGCAUCACUGGAGUUCGGCAGGGGAGACUGGAAUUCCUGGUGUAGCGGUGAAAUGCGCAGAUAUCAGGAGGAACACCGGUGGCGAAGGCGGGUCUCUGGGCCGAUACUGACGCCGAGGAGCGAAAGCGUGGGGAGCAAACAGG
rnacentral:rRNA from 1 species